rnacentral:rRNA from 1 species
GAUGAACGCUGGCGGCGUGCCUAACACAUGCAAGUCGAGCGCACGGACGAGAAGCUUGCUUCUCUGGUGUUGGCGGCGGACGGGAGAGUAACACGUGGAUAACCUACCUAUAAGACUGGGAUAACUUCGGGAAACAGGCGCUAAUACGGGAUAAUAUUUUGAAAAGCAUGGUUCAAGAGUGAAAUACGGUCUUUCUGUCGCUUAUAGCUGGAUCCGCGCUGCAUUAGCUAGUUGGUAAGGUAACGGCUUACCAAGGCAGCGAGGCAUAGCCGCCCUGAGAGGGAGGUUGGCUAGACGGGAAGUGAGAAAGGGCAGACACACCGGCGGGAGGACGCGGUAGGGACUCGUACGGAAUGGAGGAGAGCGUGACGGAGCACAGUCGCGGCAGUGAUGAAGUACCCAGGAUGGGUAAAUGCUGUUAGCAGUGGAGAACAUAUGUGUAAGUAGCUGUGAACAUAUUGACGGUACCUGAUCAAAAAGCCACGGCUAACUCCGUG